UCUUAAAAAAUUGCAAAAUAACCCUUUUUCGGGUUAAAAUUGAAAAAAGAUGUUACAUAAAAAUAGUUUGUAAGAUUUUCUAACAGCAUAUAUGAAAAGUAUUUUGAUUUAUUUGAAAAUAAUUGAAAAUAGAUUUUUCAAGGACGGUGUCGAGGUCACGGGGUCGGUGUCGUUUUUCGAAAUUUGUUAACUUAAUAUAAUAGAAGAUGUUUCGUUUUAAAUUAAGAAAUGUUAAAAUUAUUAAGUUAAAAACAUUUGAUUUUAAUGACACUUAAAAUUAGACACAAUAUUAUAGGUUUCUAACUAAAAAUUGAAAAAACAACAAUAAAUAAUAAAAAAUAAUAAUAAAAAAUUGAAAAAAUCAAAAAAUUCUUAAAAAAUUGCAAAAUAACCCUUUUUCGGGUUAAAAUUGAAAAAAGAUGUUACAUAAAAAUAGUUUGUAAGAUUUUCUAACAGCAUAUAUGAAAAGUAUUUUGAUUUAUUUGAAAAUAAUUGAAAAUAGAUUUUUCAAGGACGGUGUCGAGGUCACGGGGUCGGUGUCGUUUUUCGAAAUUUGUUAACUUAAUAUAAUAGAAGAUGUUUCGUUUUAAAUUAAGAAAUGUUAAAAUUAUUAAGUUAAAAACAUUUGAUUUUAAUGACACUUAAAAUUAGACACAAUAUUAUAGGUUACUAACUAAAAAUUGAAAAAACAACAAUAAAUAAUAAAAAGUUGAAAAAAUCAAAAAAUUCUUAAAAAAUUGCAAAAUAACCCUUUUUCGGGUUAAAAUUGAAAAAAGAUGUUACAUAAAAAUAGUUUGUAAGAUUUUCUAACAGCAUAUAUGCAAAGUAUUUUGAUUUAUUUGAAAAUAAUUGAAAAUAGAUUUUUCAAGGACGGUGUCGAGGUCACGGGGUCGGUGUCGUUUUCGAAAUUUGUUAACUUAAUAUAAUAGAAGAUGUUUCGUUUUAAAUUAAGAAAUGUUAAAAUUAUUAAGUUAAAAACAUUUGAUUUUAAUGACACUUAAAAUUAGACACAAUAUUAUAGGUUUCUAACUAAAAAUUGAAAAAACAACAAUAAAUAAUAAAAAGUUGAAAAAAUCAAAAAAUUCUUAAAAAAUUGCAAAAUAACCCUUUUUCGGGUUAAAAUUGAAAAAAGAUGUUACAUAAAAAUAGUUUGUAAGAUUUUCUAACAGCAUAUAUGAAAAGUAUUUUGAUUUAUUUGAAAAUAAUUAAAAAUAGAUUUUUCAAGGACGGUGUCGAGGUCACGGGGUCGGUGUCGUUUUUCGAAAUUUGUUAACUUAAUAUAAUAGAAGAUGUUUCGUUUCAAAUUAAGAAAUGUUAAAAUUAUUAAGUUAAAAACAUUUGAUUUUAAUGACACUUAAAAUUAGACACAAUAUUAUAGGUUUCUAACUAAAAAUUGAAAAAACAACAAUAAAUAAUAAAAAAUAAUAAUAAAAAAUUGAAAAAAUCAAAAAAUUCUUAAAAAAUUUCAAAAUAACCCUUUUUCGGGUUAAAAUUGAAAAAAGAUGUUACAUAAAAAUAGUUUGUAAGAUUUUCUAACAGCAUAUAUGAAAAGUAUUUUGAUUUAUUUGAAAAUAAUUGAAAAUAGAUUUUUCAAGGACGGUGUCGAGGUCACGGGGUCGGUGUCGUUUUUCGAAAUUUGUUAACUUAAUAUAAUAGAAGAUGUUUCGUUUUAAAUUAAGAAAUGUUAAAAUUAUUAAGUUAAAAACAUUUGAUUUUAAUGACACUUAAAAUUAGACACAAUAUUAUAGGUUACUAACUAAAAAUUGAAAAAACAACAAUAAAUAAUAAAAAGUUGAAAAAAUCAAAAAAUUCUUAAAAAAUUGCAAAAUAACCCUUUUUCGGGUUAAAAUUGAAAAAAGAUGUUACAUAAAAAUAGUUUGUAAGAUUUUCUAACAGCAUAUAUGCAAAGUAUUUUGAUUUAUUUGAAAAUAAUUGAAAAUAUAUUUUUCAAGGACGGUGUCGAGGUCACGGGGUCGGUGUCGUUUUUCGAAAUUUGUUAACUUAAUAUAAUAGAAGAUGUUUCGUUUUAAAUUAAGAAAUGUUAAAAUUAUUAAGUUACAAACAUUUGAUUUUAAUGACACUUAAAAUUAGACACAAUA